ensembl:lncRNA
GAGGGUCAGGGUGGAGGUGGUGACACCACGCUGCUGUCCUCAGGGUGUGAGGGUCAGGGUGGAGGUGGUGACACCAUGCUGCUGUCCCCAGGGUGUGAGGGUCAGGGUCAGGGUGGAGGUGGUGACACCAUGCUCCUGUCCCCAGGGUGUGAGGGUCAGGGUCAGGGUGGAGGGAGAGCCCUGCCUCCUGGGGCUCCCCACCCUUUCAUGUGCUCAUCACUCUGACGUGGAAACUAGUGCUGCUGCAGACAAGGAGUCAAAUAUCAUGUCAAAUGGGAUCGCACUGCAAAAAGGCCAAAGGGCGGCUUUAGGGAGUGUGUGCAUGCAUGCUCACGACUGGGUGACUGCACGAUUCUGUGUGUACGUGCGCU